rnacentral:misc_RNA from 1 species
CAAGUGAGGCUACCGAACGCUGGAAACAGCGGAAGGAGCUUACACCCACCCGUGUUUACAUACUAUUGUUGCUUUGGCGGGCCGUGGCCUCCACCGCGGGCUCUGCUCGUGUGUGCCCGCCAGAGGAUUAAACUCUGAAUGUUAGUGAUGUCUGAGUACUAUCUAAUAGUUA